CUUCUUCUCUGGUCUUUUCAGAUGGACAAGCAUCAUUGGAAACCCCAGAGGUUCAAGGUAUAGGGAAGGUCGCAAGGCACCAAAGGGAAGAGGAUGGAAGAAAAAGAAAGAUGAUAAGAAAACUGCAGCACUGAGACAUCCCCAUCACAGCACGUGGCUGGUAAGCACUAAAACUUGGCAAUAUGGGUUCAAGUUUACACUAAUACUUAGAAGGAAUGAAAAUAAUAUUGAUUUCAGUUUAUUUUCUGUUUGCUGACCUAUUGAGCAGUGUUGCCUGGGUUGGGAGAAAACAGAAAUUACUUAUUUUAUUCUCAAUAACUUCUAGCUCCUAGAACCUUCCAGAACCUGAGCCCUCUUUCAUCUGCAGCCUCCUGCGUAUUGGCAGGCACUGGUGUUUGUUCCUGGCACUGCUGC
rnacentral:lncRNA from 1 species